rnacentral:rRNA from 1 species
GAUCAUGGCUCAGGACGAACGCUGGCAGCGUGCCUAACACAUGCAAGUCGAACGGAGAAUUUUAUUUCGGUAGAAUUCUUAGUGGCGAACGGGUGAGUAACGCGUAGGCAACCUACCCUUUAGACGGGGACAACAUUCCGAAAGGAGUGCUAAUACCGGAUGUGAUCAUCGUGCCGCAUGGCAGGAUGAAGAAAGAUGGCCUCUACAAGUAAGCUAUCGCUAAAGGAUGGGCCUGCGU